GACGAACGCUGGCGGCGUGCUUAACACAUGCAAGUCGUACGGUAAGGCCCUUUCGGGGGUACACGAGUGGCGAACGGGUGAGUAACACGUGAGUAACCUGCCCACAACUUUUGGAUAACGCUAGGAAACUGGUGCUAAUACUGGAUAUGUGCUCCUGCUGCAUGGUGGGGGUUGGAGAGCUCCGGCGGUUGUGGAUGGACUCGCGGCCUAUCAGCUUGUUGGUGGGGUAGUGGCCUACCAAGGCGGCUACGGGUAGCCGGCCUGAGAGUGUGACCGGCCACAUUGGGACUGAGAGACGGCGCAGACACCAACGGGAGGCAGGAGUGGGGAAUAUUGCACAAUGGGGGCAAGCAUGAUGAAGCAACGCCGCGGGAGGGAUGACGGCCUUCGGGUUGAAAACAGCUUUCAGCAGGGACGAAGCUUUGAGUGACGGUAAAUGCAGAAGAAGCACCGGCUAACUA
rnacentral:rRNA from 1 species